rnacentral:rRNA from 1 species
CGAACGGGUGAGUAACGCGUGAGGAACCUGCCUCAAAGAGGGGGACAACAGUUGGAAACGACUGCUAAUACCGCAUAGGCCUACGGCUCGGCAUCGAGCAGAGGGAAAAGGAGCAAUCCGCUUUGAGAUGGCCUCGCGUCCGAUUAGCUAGUUGGUGAGGUAACGGCCCACCAAGGCGACGAUCGGUAGCCGGACUGGGAGGUUGAACGGCCACAUUGGGACUGAGACACGGCCCAG